CCUACGGGUGCUGCAGUGGGGAAUAUUGGACAAUGGGCGAAAGCCUGAUCCAGCCAUGCCGCGUGUGUGAAGAAGGCCUUCGGGUUGUAAAGCACUUUCAGUGGGGAAGAAAGCCUUGGGGCUAAUACCCUCGAGGAAGGACAUCACCCACAGAAGAAGCACCGGCUAACUCCGUGCCAGCAGCCGCGGUAAUACGGAGGGUGCGAGCGUUAAUCGGAAUUACUGGGCGUAAAGCGCGCGUAGGCGGUCUGAUAAGCCGGUUGUGAAAGCCCCGGGCUCAACCUGGGAACGGCAUCCGGAACUGUCAGGCUAGAGUGCAGGAGAGGAAGGUAGAAUUCCCGGUGUAGCGGUGAAAUGCGUAGAGAUCGGGAGGAAUACCAGUGGCGAAGGCGGCCUUCUGGACUGACACUGACGCUGAGGUGCGAAAGCGUGGGUAGCAAACAGGAUUAGAUACCCGUGUAGUC
rnacentral:rRNA from 1 species